GUCCGGGUGGCGGAAUGGCAGACGCGCUAGCUUGAGGUGCUAGUGCCCUAACGGGCGUGAGGGUUCAAAUCCCUUCCUGGACA
rnacentral:tRNA from 1 species